rnacentral:rRNA from 1 species
AUGGAACCUGCCUUGUACAGGGGAAUAGCCCAGGGAAACUUGGAUUAAUGCCCCGUAGUACCGUAUUUCGGCAUCGUUAUACGGUUAAAGCCUUCSGGCGGUACAAGAUGGCCAUGCGUCCCAUUAGCUGGAUGGUAAGGUAACGGCUUACCAUGGCUACGAUGGGUAGGGGCCCUGAGAGGGGGAUCCCCCACACUGGUACUGAGACACGGACCAGACUCCUACGGGAGGCAGCAGUGAGGAAUAUUGGACAAUGGAGGAGACUCUGAUCCAGCUAUGCCGCGUGCAGGAAGAAUGCCCUAUGGGUAGUAAACUGCUUUUAUACGGGAAGAAAAAGAGCUACGUGUAGCUUACUGACGGUACCGUAAGAAUAAGGACCGGCUAACUCCGUGCCAGCAGCCGCGGUAAUACGGAGGGUCCGAGCGUUAUCCGGAAUUAUUGGGUUUAAAGGGUCCGUAGGCGGGCCGAUAAGUCAGGGGUGAAAGUCUGCCGCUCAACGGUAGAACUGCCUUUGAUACUGUCGGUCUUGAGUUAUAGUGAAGUUGCCGGAAUAUGUAGUGUAGCGGUGAAAUGCAUAGAUAUUACAUAGAACACCGAUUGCGAAGGCAGGUGACUAACUAUAUACUGACGCUGAUGGACGAAAGCGUGGGGAGCGAACAGGAUUAGAUACCCUGGUAGUCCACGCCGUAAACGAUGGAUACUAGCUGUCCGGAACCUUGAGUUCUGGGCGGCCAAGCGAAAGUGAUAAGUAUCCC